rnacentral:rRNA from 1 species
AUAGGGCACCACAAGAACGCGUGGAGCAUGUGGCUUAAUUUGACUCAACCCGGGAAAUCUUACCAGGUCCAGACAUAUUGAGGAUUGACAGGCGAUAGUAUAUAAAAUAUAUUUUUAUAUGCAUAAAAAUGAUAGUCCUUUCAUGAUUAUAUGAUAGGUGGUGCAUGGCCGUUCUUAGUUCGUGGAGUGAUUUGUCUGCUUAAUUGCGUUUCAGUAAAUAAAAUAUAUAAUAUAUUAUAAUAUUUAGUUCUGCCAUUUAUUUAUGGAUUUAAAGUGAACAUAUUAUAUAUAUUAUUAUAUAAUAAAUGAAUGCAACGAACGUGACCGUAACCUUUUAUUGCUAUUGAAAAUUAUAAUUAUAGCAUAAAAUUAAAGGAACCGCUGUCAUUACUAAAUAUGUGUUAAAAUAGAGUAAGAUUAUGGCAAUAACAGGUCUGUGAUGCCCUCAGAUGUUCUGGGCUGCACACGUGCUACAAUAAUUACAUUAAUAAGUAUAUAUACUUUAUAAUAUAUAAUAUUAUAUUACAACCUAUUUCGAAAGUAAAUCGGUAAUCAUUUAAAAAUCGUGAUUAAUUAAUAUAAAUAUAAUUAAUUUAAGGUGGGGAUAGUGUAUUGUUAAUUAUUACACUUGGCCUUAACUAGGAAUGCCUUGUACUCUUCUUUGGUUUAACAUACCAAGAGGAAUACGUCCCUGCCCUUUGUACACACCGCCCGUCGCUCUUACCGAUGAAUUAUAUUAUAAAUCUAAGGGAUUUAUUAUAAUUAAAAUAUAAAAAACUUAUAUACAUAAUGUGAUUUAAAGGAACAGAGAAGUCGAACAAGGCA